rnacentral:rRNA from 1 species
GCAGUCGAGCGGGGAAGGUAGCUUGCUACCUAACCUAGCGGCGGACGGGUGAGUAAUGCUUAGGAAUCUGCCUAUUAGUGGGGGACAACAUUCCGAAAGGAAUGCUAAUACCGCAUACGCCCUACGGGGGAAAGCAGGGGAUCUUCGGACCUUGCGCUAAUAGAUGAGCCUAAGUCAGAUUAGCUAGUUGGUGGGGUAAAGGCCUACCAAGGCGACGAUCUGUAGCGGGUCUGAGAGGAUGAUCCGCCACACUGGGACUGAGACACGGCCCAGACUCCUACGGGAGGCAGCAGUGGGGAAUAUUGGACAAUGGGCGAAAGCCUGAUCCAGCCAUGCCGCGUGUGUGAAGAAGGCCUUUUGGUUGUAAAGCACUUUAAGCGAGGAGGAGGCUACUUGGAUUAAUACUCUAGGAUAGUGGACGUUACUCGCAGAAUAAGCACCGGCUAACUCUGUGCCAGCAGCCGCGGUAAUACAGAGGGUGCGAGCGUUAAUCGGAUUUACUGGGCGUAAAGCGUGCGUAGGCGGCUUUUUAAGUCGGAUGUGAAAUCCCUGAGCUUAACUUAGGAAUUGCAUUCGAUACUGGGAAGCUAGAGUAUGGGAGAGGAUGGUAG